rnacentral:rRNA from 1 species
GAUGAACGCUGGCGGCGUGCCUAAUACAUGCAAGUCGAGCGAACGGACGAGAAGCUUGCUUCUCUGAUGUUAGCGGCGGACGGGUGAGUAACACGUGGAUAACCUACCUAUAAGACUGGGAUAACUUCGGGAAACCGGAGCUAAUACCGGAUAAUAUUUUGAACCGCAUGGUUCAAAAGUGAAAGACGGUCUUGCUGUCACUUAUAGAUGGAUCCGCGCUGCAUUAGCUAGUUGGUAAGGUAACGGCUUACCAAGGCAACGAUGCAUAGCCGACCUGAGAGGGUGAUCGGCCACACUGGAACUGAGACACGGUCCAGACUCCUACGGGAGGCAGCAGUAGGGAAUCUUCCGCAAUGGGCGAAAGCCUGACGGAGCAACGCCGCGUGAGUGAUGAAGGUCUUCGGAUCGUAAAACUCUGUUAUUAGGGAAGAACAAAUGUGUAAGUAACUAUGCACGUCUUGACGGUACCUAGUCAGAAAGCCACGGCUAGCUACGUG